GCUGGGGUAGCCAAGGUGGUCACGGCGGUGGUCUGAAAAACCUCAGAUCUCAGUUCGACUCUGAGCCCCAGCACAA
rnacentral:tRNA from 2 species